rnacentral:tRNA from 1 species
GGAGAGAUGGCUCAGUGGUUAAGAGAACUGGCUGCUUUUCCAGAGGACCUGGGUUCAAUUCCUAGUAUCUACA